rnacentral:rRNA from 1 species
GACGAACGCUGGCGGCGUGCCUAAUACAUGCAAGUAGAACGCUGAAGGAGGAGCUUGCUUCUCUGGAUGAGUUGCGAACGGGUGAGUAACGCGUAGGUAACCUGCCUGGUAGCGGGGGAUAACUAUUGGAAACGAUAGCUAAUACCGCAUAAUAGUAGAUGUUGCAUGACAUUUGCUUAAAAGGUGCAAUUGCAUCACUACCAGAUGGACCUGCGUUGUAUUAGCUAGUUGGUGGGGUAACGGCUCACCAAGGCGACGAUACAUAGCCGACCUGGGAGGGUGAUCGGCCACACUGGGACUGAGACACGGCCCAGACUCCUACGGGAGGCAGCAGUAGGGAAUCUUCGGCAAUGGACGGAAGUCUGACCGAGCAACGCCGCGUGAGUGAAGAAGGUUUUCGGAUCGUAAAGCUCUGUUGUAAGAGAAGAACGAGUGUGAGAGUGGAAAGUUCACACUGUGACGGUAUCUUAACAGAAAGGGACGGCUAACUACGUG